GAUUAGAGUUUGAUCCUGGCCCAGGAUGAACGCUAGCGGCAGGCUUAUUACAUGCAAGUCGAACGGUAAGGGUCUCUUCGGAGAUCCACGAGUGGCGCACGGGUGCGUAACGCGUAUGCAACCUACCUUUAACUGGGAAAUAGCCCCGAGAAAUCGGGAUUAAUGUCCCAUACUAUUCUGAGAAUGCAUAUUCUUAGAAUGAAAGUUCCGGCGGUUAUUGAUGGGCAUGCGUGACAUUAGCUAGUUGGUGAGGUAACGGCUCACCAAGGCUACGAUGUCUAGGGGUCCUGAGAGGGUUAACCCCCACACUGGUACUGAGACACGGACCAGACUCCUACGGGAGGCAGCAGUAAGGAAUAUUGGGCAAUGGACGCAAGUCUAACCCAGCCAUGCCGCGUGAAGGAUGAAUGUCCUAUGGAUUGUAAACUUCUUUUAUGCAGGAAAAAUAUCUCGGUCGUGAACCGGGACUGAUGGUACUGUAGAAUAG
rnacentral:rRNA from 1 species